rnacentral:rRNA from 1 species
AUUGAACGCUGGCGGCAGGCCUAACACAUGCAAGUCGAACGAGUGGCGGACGGGUGAGUCAUGUCUGGGAAACUGCCUGAUGGAGGGGGAUAACUACUGGAAACGGUAGCUAAUACCGCAUACCAUCGGAUGUGUCACGAGGGGAUUAGAGAGUAGGUGGGGUAACGGCCCACCUAGCAGACGAUCCCUCGCUGGUCGGAGAGGAUGACCAGCCACACUGGAACUGAGAAACGGGCCAGACGCCGACGGGAGGCAGCAGUGGGGAAGAUUGCACAAUGGGCGCAAGCCUGAUGCAGCCAUGCGGCGUGUAUGAAGAAGGCCUUCGGGUUGUAAAGUACUUUCAGCGGGGAGGCGUUACCCGCAGAAGAAGCACCGGCUAACUCCGUGCCAGCCGCCGCGGUAAUAC